rnacentral:rRNA from 1 species
CCUACGGGUGGCAGCAGUGGGGAAUAUUGGGCAAUGGACGCAAGCCUGACCCAGCAACGCCGCGUGAAGGAUGAAGGCUUUCGGGUUGUACACUUCUUUUCUCAGGGACGAAGAAAGUGACGGUACCUGAGGAAUAAGCCUCGGCUAACUACGUGCCAGCAGCCGCGGUAAUACGUAGGUGGCAAGCGUUAUCCGGAAUUAUUGGGUUUAAAGGGUGCGCAGGAGGUGGUGCAAGUCAGCGGUAAAAUCGCGGGGCCCAACCCCGAACUGCCGUUUAAACUGCAUGGCUUGAGUGCGCGAGAAGCAUGCGGAAUGCGUGGUGUAGCGGUGAAAUGCAUAGAUAUCACGCAGAACUCCGAUUGCGAAGGCAGCAUACCGGCGCGCAACUGACGCUGAUGCACGAAAGCGUGGGUAUCGAACAGGAUUAGAUACCCGUGUAGUC